GGACCGGUAGUGUAGUGGUAAUACAUUGCAUCUGGACGUAAAGAGGAGUGGUUCGAUUCCCUCCCGGUCC
rnacentral:tRNA from 1 species